AGUGAACGCUGGCGGUAGGCCUAACACAUGCAAGUCGAACGGCAGCACAGUAAAAGCUUGCUCUUACGGGUGGCGAGUCGCGGACGGGUGAGGAAUACAUCGGAAUCUACUUUUUCGUGGGGGAUAACGUAGGGAAACUUACGCUAAUACCGCAUACGACCUACGGUUGAAAGCAGGGGAUCUUCGGACCUUGCGCGAUUGAAUGAGCCGAUGUCGGAUUAGCUAGUUGGCGGGGUAACGGCCCACCAAGGCGACGAUCCGUAGCUGGUCUGAGAGGAUGAGCAGCCACCCUGGAACUGUGACACGGUCCAGACCACUCCCGGAGGGAGCAGUGGAGUAUAGUGGACAAUGGGCGGAAGCCUGAUCCAGCCCUACCGAGUCGGUUAAGGAGGCCUUCGGGUUGUGAAGGCAUUCUGUUGGUAAAGAAAAGCAGCAGGUUAAUCGCGUGCUGUUCUGACGGUACCCUAAGAAUAAGCACCGGCUAACUUCGUG
rnacentral:rRNA from 1 species